GGAGGGAAGGACAGGCACAGCAAAGUGAGCACUGUGAGAGGACUGCGAGAUAGGCGAGUGAGGCUCUCGGUGCCAACAGCCAUCCAGCUCUAUGAUCUCCAAGACAGGCUUGGCCUGAACCAACCAAGCAAAGUUGUUGAUUGGCUCCUCAAUGCCGCCCAGCAUGAGAUCGAUAAGCUCCCACCUCUCCAAAUGCCGCCAGGAAACUUCAUUCAGUUCAAUGCGACCGAUCCAGAAUCGCCCUCGAAUCCUCAAGAAGGCAAUGAAGAAGAAAAUCAAGACGAUGAUGGCAUUCAUGGUGGUGCGAUUGAGUCUCUAGGCUUGCUAAGCAAUGCUAUUGCGC
rnacentral:misc_RNA from 1 species